rnacentral:rRNA from 1 species
CAGCCGCCACGGGAAUACAGAGGGUGCGAGCGUUAAUCGGAUUUACUGGGCGUAAAGCGUGCGUAGGCGGCUAAUUGAGUCGGAUGUGAAAUCCCCGAGCUUAACUUGGGAAUUGCAUUCGAUACUGGUUAGCUAGAGUGUGGGAGAGGAUGGUAGAAUUCCAGGUGUAGCGGUGAAAUGCGUAGAGAUCUGGAGGAAUACCGAUGGCGAAGGCAGCCAUCUGGCCUAACACUGACGCUGAGGUACGAAAGCAUGGGGAGCAAACAGGAUUAGAUACCCCCGUAGUCCCUGUCUCUUAUAU